GCGCAUGUGCUGUGAGCUCGAUGAGUAGGGCGGGACACGUGGUAUCCUGUCUGAAUAUGGGGGGACCAUCCUCCAAGGCUAAAUACUCCUGACUGACCGAUAGUGAACCAGUACCGUGAGGGAAAGGCGAAAAGAACCCCGGCGAGGGGAGUGAAAAAGAACCUGAAACCGUGUACGUACAAGCAGUGGGAGCACCCUUUGGGUGUGACUGCGUACCUUUUGUAUAAUGGGUCAGCGACUUAUAUUCUGUAGCAAGGUUAACCGAAUAGGGGAGCCGGAGGGAAACCGAGUCUUAACCGGGCGUUAAGUUGCAGGGUAUAGACCCGAAACCCGGUGAUCUAGCCAUGGGCAGGUUGAAGGUUGGGUAACACUAACUGGAGGACCGAACCGACUAAUGUUGAAAAAUUAGCGGAUGACCUGUGGCUGGGGGUGAAAGGCCAAUCAAACCGGGAGAUAGCUGGUUCUCCCCGAAAGCUAUUUAGGUAGCGCCUCGUGAAUUCAUCUCCGGGGGUAGAGCACUGUUUCGGCUAGGGGGCCAUCCCGGCUUACCAACCCGAUGCAAACUGCGAAUACCGGAGAAUGUUAUCACGGGAGACACACGGCGGGUGCUAACGUCCGUCGUGAAGAGGGAAACAACCCAGACCGCCAGCUAAGGUCCCAAAGUCAUGGUUAAGUGGGAAACGAUGUGGGAAGGCCCAGACAGCCAGGAUGUUGGCUUAGAAGCAGCCAUCAUUUAAAGAAAGCGUAAUAGCUCACUGGUCGAGUCGGCCUGCGCGGAAGAUGUAACGGGGCUAAACCAUGCACCGAAGCUGCGGCAGCGACACUGUGUGUUGUUGGGUAGGGGAGCGUUCUGUAAGCCUGUGAAGGUGUGUCGUGAGGCAUGCUGGAGGUAUCAGAAGUGCGAAUGCUGACAUAAGUAACGAUAAAGCGGGUGAAAAGCCCGCUCGCCGGAAGACCAAGGGUUCCUGUCCAACGUUAAUCGGGGCAGGGUGAGUCGACCCCUAAGGCGAGGCCGAAAGGCGUAGUCGAUGGGAAACGGGUUAAUAUUCCCGUACUUGGUGUUACUGCGAAGGGGGGACGGAGAAGGCUAUGUUGGCCGGGCGACGGUUGUCCCGGUUUAAGCGUGUAGGUGUGUGUUCCAGGUAAAUCCGGUUCACUUUAACACUGAGGCGUGACGACGAGGCACUACGGUGCUGAAGCAACAAAUGCCCUGCUUCCAGGAAAA
rnacentral:rRNA from 1 species